GGUCAAAUACAGAACCUUUCUAAGGUACGCUCACUUGCCCAGAUGCCACAUUUUUUUGGUAAGCCAGCAAAUCUAAGAGAACCAGGAAAAAUUUAACAUGCGAUGUCCAACUAACCCAAGGUCAAUGGACCAGACCCAUAACACCCAAUCCUAGCACUUGCAUGUUAAAUGAAAAAAUUUGGAAGAAGAUACAAACGAACGGAGAUGCCAUUGUGAUUAUCUAAGAUUUUAAGUCAUACUUUAGAUUGACAUUAUGAUGAGAAUAGUGAUUGUAUCUUGGAAGUUUAAAUUAAUAUAUACUAUAUAGUAA
rnacentral:misc_RNA from 1 species